GGUCCAGACUCCUACGGGAGGCAGCAGUGGGGGAUAUUGCACAAUGGAGGAAACUCUGAUGCAGCGACGCCGCGUGAGGGAAGACGGUCUUCGGAUUGUAAACCUCUGUCUUUGGGGAAGAAAAUGACGGUACCUGACUAAGAAGCCCCGGCUAACUACGUGCCAGCAGCCGCGGUAAUACGUAGGGGGCAAGCGUUAUCCGGAAUUACUGGGUGUAAAGGGAGCGCAGACGGCAGUGCAAGUCUGGAGUGAAAGCCCGUGGCUUAACCACGGGACUGCUCUGGAAACUGUGCAGCUAGAGUGCAGGAGAGGCAGGCGGAAUUCCUAGUGUAGCGGUGAAAUGCGUAGAUAUUAGGAGGAACACCGGUGGCGAAGGCGGCCUGCUGGACUGUAACUGACGUUGAGGCUCGAAAGCGUGGGGAGCAAACAGGAUUAGAUACCCUGGUAGA
rnacentral:rRNA from 1 species